rnacentral:rRNA from 1 species
AUGGAGAUCGCUGCCAUCGCUCUUAUUCUGGCGACGAUGAUCGCCUCCAAAGCCGCAGCACAGAACAACGGUUGCUCGAGCGUGAUGAUGACCCUAUCCCCAUGCCUUGACUUCAUCGGAAGCAAAGCCCUGGAGCCCGGUUUCUCCUGCUGCACCACGCUCGCCGGCAUCGUCCAGACCGACCCCCGUUGCCUCUGCAUGGUUCUCGAUGGCAGUGCGGCGUCAUUUGGCAUCGUCAUUAACCACACGAGGGCCCUGGAGCUCCCUAGCAUCUGCAAGGUCCAAGCACCGCCGAUUAGCCAAUGCACAGGUCUGUAAAUGUUACGAUCCAUUGCACCCUAGAGUAAGUAACAUGCCGCUUCUUAAACUCAUUACAUCAGACUUCUCAAAUUCCAGCCAUCCCAGUUCCUCCAGCAACAGCGCCAGAAGACCCACCGGAGGAGACGAGCAACCAAGUCGCAGAUGCACCUAAAG